rnacentral:rRNA from 1 species
UUAGAGGAAGUAAAAGUCGUAACAAGGUUUCCGUAGGUGAACCUGCGGAAGGAUCAUUCAUAAUAAGUGUUUUAUGGCACUUUUUAAAUCCAUAUCCACCUUGUGUGCAAUGUUUUGAAAAUCGCCUUCAUGGUGGUUUUUUAAUUACAUCAACCAAUUUUAACAAAUUUGUCUUAAAAAUUCUUGAAUAAAUAUAAUUCAAAAAACAACUUUCAACAACGGAUCUCUUGGCUCUCGCAUCGAUGAAGAACGCAGCGAAAUGCGAUACGUAAUGUGAAUUGCAGAAUUCAGUGAAUCAUCGAAUCUUUGAACGCACAUUGCGCUCUCUGGUAUUCCGGAGAGCAUGCUUGUUUGAGUAUCAGUAAACACCUCAACUCUUUUUUCUCUCUGGAGGGGAAAGAGUUGGACUUGAGCUAUCCCAACAGAACUCGUUUCUGGCGGGCGGCUUGAAAUGCAGGUGCAGCUGGACUUUCUUCUGAGCUAUAAGCAUAUUUAUUUAAUCCCUUAAAACGGAUUAUUACUUUUUGCUGCAGCUAACAUAAAGGUUGAUUGUUCUCUAUGCUGACUGAUGCAGGAAUUUGGCAAAAUAUCGUCCAGGCGAUUUUUGUUAAACUCGAUCUCAAAUCAAGUAAGACUACCCGCUGAACUUAAGCAUAUCAAUAAGCGGGAGGAAAAGAAAACUAACAAGGGAUCCCCUUAGUAACGGGCGAGUGAAGCGGGGGUG